AACGAACGCUGGCGGCAGGCUUAACACAUGCAAGUCGAACGGUUGUAGCAAUACAGCAGUGGCAGACGGGUGAGUAACACGUGGGAACCUUCCUAGGGGUACGGAACAACUCAGGGAAACUUGAGCUAAUACCGUAUACGUCCGUGAGGAGAAAGAUUUAUCGCCCUUAGACGGGCCCGCGUCGGAUUAGGUAGUUGGUGGGGUAACGGCCUACCAAGCCUACGAUCCGUAGCUGAUCUUAGAGGAUGAUCAGCCACACUGGGACUGAGACACGGCCCAGACUCCUACGGGAGGCAGCAGUGGGGAAUCUUGGACAAUGGGCGCAAGCCUGAUCCAGCCAUGCCGCGUGAGUGAAGAAGGUCUUCGGAUUGUAAAGCUCUUUUACCAGGGACGAUAAUGACGGUACCUGGAGAAUAAGCCCCGGCAAACUUCAUGCCAGCCGCCGCAGUAAUAC
rnacentral:rRNA from 1 species